AGGGGGUGCAGGUCCCAUGGGUGCCCCCCCCCCGAGCUGGGACCCUGGUGUGGGGCAGCAGAGGGGCUGGGGGGGGAUGAGGGGCGCUGGGGCUGCUCGGGGGGUCCCACUGCCCAGCGUGUCAUGGGGUGACAUGGGGCCACCAUGUGCCAUGGGGCCACUGGCCGUGGUGGCUUUGGCCCCCAAGGGCCCCCCCCAGCCCUAAUCUUGGAUCACCAGCACCUACCACCCAUAUCCUGCUUGUGCCGUGGGGAUAUGGGGUCACAAGGGUGGGAUAUGGGGAUGGGACAUGGGGUCACAAGGGUGGGACAUGGGGACACAGGGACAGGACACGGGGUGUGGGGCCACCCUGGCGAGGCCGCGGAGGGGCGGCCCCCACACGACCCUUACCCCCAGAGUGUUUAUCCAGGCCCGGCCCCCCCGGCCAGGGGCGGGAGCUGAGCCCGGGGGAUAAAAACAGCCCCCGAGGGGCCCCCACAGCCCCGAGUCCUGCCCAGGUGAGCGGCGCCAGCGCCGGGCAGGACGGGCUGGGGGGCAGGAGGGGGCUGCGGGGUUGGAAUGGCGCAGGAUGGGGCUGUGGGUGCAGGAUGGGGCAGGGCUGGGGUUGUGGGGCAGGGCUGGGGCCAUGGGAUUGGAAUGGGAUAGGGAUGGAGCUGUGGGGCAGGGAGGGAGUUGUGGUGUUGGAAUGGGGCAGGAAGGGGCUGUGGGGUCAGAAUGGGGCAGGAUGGGGCUGUGGAGCAGGGAUGGGGCCAUGGGAUUGGGAUGGGAUAGGGACAGAGCUGGGGGGCAGGGCUGGGGCUGUGAGGUCGGGAUGGGGCGGGAGCUCACACUGGGGCUGUGGGGCUGGAGGGGACUCGGUGCCAUGGGGCAGCCCCACGGUGACGCUGCCCCAUUCCCUGUGUCCCAGCCCGGCGAGAUGAGGGCGCUGGCGGCCGCGGUGCUGGUGCUGCUGCUGGUGCUGGGGCCCAUCCAGGCCGCCCGGUCCCGGCGCGAGCCCCCGGCCGAGGCUGCUGCUGAGGGCCCGGCCGAGGACUUCUUCAGCCGCCACCUCCAGACCUUCUCCGACUUCAUGACCAAGGACCUGCCCCAGAGGCUGCAGGUGGAGGAGAUGCGGAGCCAGGCUGAGGCGUACCUGGAGCGGGCCAACAAGCAGCUGAUGCCGCUGGCCCAGGAGCUGCGGAGCAACGUCCUCGGGCUCUUCUCCUCCCUCCUGGACCUGGGCAAGAGCAAGGAGCAGCCCUGAGCCCCCCCGGCCCCCGGCCCCCAAUAAACCCCUUGAGGCGCUGCUGUGGCCCUGUGCUGUGGGGAUGGGGGCACGGGAACGGGGGGUUGG
rnacentral:lncRNA from 1 species